rnacentral:rRNA from 1 species
GUGAGGAAUUUUCCGCAAUGGGCGAAAGCCUGACGGAGCAAUGCCGCGUGAAGGAUGAAGGCCUAUGGGUUGUAAACUUCUUUUCUCAGAAAAGAAUUAUGACGGUAUCUGAGGAAUAAGCAUCGGCUAACUCUGUGCCAGCAGCCGCGGUAAGACAGAGGAUGCAAGCGUUAUCCGGAAUGAUUGGGCGUAAAGCGUCUGUAGGUUGUUUAAAAAGGAUUCUGUCAAAGAUUAGGGCUUAACCCUAGAUAGGCAGAAUAAACUUUUAAGCUAGAGUUUGGUAGAGGCAGAGGGAAUGCACGGUGGAGCGGUGAAAUGCGUAGAUAUCGGGAGGAACACCAAAGGCGAAGGCCCUCUGAUGGGCCAAUACUAACACUGAGAGACGAAAGCGAGGGGAGCAAAUGGGAUUAGAUACCCGGGUAGUCC